GCGGAUAUGGUUUAAUGGUAGAAUAGCGCCUUGCCAAGGCGCAGAUCGGGGUCCGAUUCCCCGUAUCCGCACCA
rnacentral:tRNA from 1 species